rnacentral:rRNA from 1 species
AGCUCCAAUAGCGUAUAUUAAUGUUGUUGCAGUUAAAAAGCUCGUAGUUGAAUUUCUGGGUUUGGCGUUCGGUCCGAGGGCUCUUUGAAGCCUCUUGUGUACUGUUUUUAGCCAAGCCCAUCUUAAUAGUGAGUGUAUCUGGCAUUAGGUUGUCGGGUGCAGGAGCUAUUUCCCUUACCGUGAAUAAAAUAGAGUGUUCAAAGCAGACUUUUUAGUCUUGAAUACUUCAGCAUGGAAUAAAAAGAUAGGACGAAGGUGCUAUUUUAUUGGUUUGCACACCACGUAAUGAUUAAUAGGGAUAGUUGGGGGUAUUCAUAUUUGAUUGUCAGAGGUGAAAUUCUUGGAUUUAUGAAAGAUGAACUUAUGCGAAAGCAUUUAUCAAGGAUGUUUUCAUUAAUCA